ACUUGACGUCGAUCGCCUUUUGCCCUUUUGGAAGUGAAGUCAGCUCCCAGGUGUCGUUCUUUUCGAUGGACUGGAUCUCCUCAUCCAUUGCAUCUCACCAUUUCUUACUUUGUACGGCUUCUUCAAAGGUAACUGGUUCACAAUCAGCAAAUAGACAAAGAAGAGUUAGGUCCUCUAACCUUUCAGUGUUUUCAUAAAUGUCUUCCAAACUCCUUGCGCGUUCAUCACUCCUUUCAUUCAGAAACGAUGGUGGCGAGUCAUCUUGAUCUGCUGUUGGCGAGG
rnacentral:lncRNA from 1 species